GAUGAACGCUGGCGGCGUGCCUAAUACAUGCAAGUCGAGCGAACAGACGAGGAGCUUGCUCCUCUGACGUUAGCCGCGGACGGGUGAGUAACACGUGGAUAACCUACCUAUAAGACUGGGAUAACUUCGGGAAACCGGCGCUAACACCGGAUAAUAUAUUGAACCGCAUGGUUCAAUAGUGAAAGACGGUUUUGCUGUCACUUAUAGAUGGAUCCGCGCCGCGUUAGCUAGUUGGUAAGGUAACGGCUUACCAAGGCAACGAUGCGUAGCCGACCUGAGAGAGUGAUCGGCCACACUGGAACUGAGACACGGUCCAGACUCCUACGGGAGGCAGCAGUAGGGAAUCUUCCGCAGUGGGCGAAAGCCUGACGGAGCAACGCCGCGUGAGUGAUGAAGAUCUUCGGAUCGUGAAACUCUGUUAUUAGGGAAGAACAAAUGUGUAAGUAACUAUGCACGUCUUGACGGUACCUAGUCAGAAAGCCACGGCUAACUACGUG
rnacentral:rRNA from 1 species